rnacentral:rRNA from 1 species
ACGUGGUAUCCUGUCUGAAUAUGGGGGGACCAUCCUCCAAGGCUAAAUACUCCUGACUGACCGAUAGUGAACCAGUACCGUGAGGGAAAGGCGAAAAGAACCCCGGCGAGGGGAGUGAAAAAGAACCUGAAACCGUGUACGUACAAGCAGUGGGAGCCUCUUUAUGGGGUGACUGCGUACCUUUUGUAUAAUGGGUCAGCGACUUAUAUUCUGUAGCAAGGUUAACCGAAUAGGGGAGCCGAAGGGAAACCGAGUCUUAACUGGGCGUUAAGUUGCAGGGUAUAGACCCGAAACCCGGUGAUCUAGCCAUGGGCAGGUUGAAGGUUGGGUAACACUAACUGGAGGACCGAACCGACUAAUGUUGAAAAAUUAGCGGAUGACUUGUGGCUGGGGGUGAAAGGCCAAUCAAACCGGGAGAUAGCUGGUUCUCCCCGAAAGCUAUUUAGGUAGCGCCUCGUGAAUUCAUCUCCGGGGGUAGAGCACUGUUUCGGCAAGGGGGUCAUCCCGACUUACCAACCCGAUGCAAACUGCGAAUACCGGAGAAUGUUAUCACGGGAGACACACGGCGGGUGCUAACGUCCGUCGUGAAGAGGGAAACAACCCAGACCGCCAGCUAAGGUCCCAAAGUCAUGGUUAAGUGGGAAACGAUGUGGGAAGGCCCAGACAGCCAGGAUGUUGGCUUAGAAGCAGCCAUCAUUUAAAGAAAGCGUAAUAGCUCACUGGUCGAGUCGGCCUGCGCGGAAGAUGUAACGGGGCUAAACCAUGCACCGAAGCUGCGGCAGCGACGCUUAUGCGUUGUUGGGUAGGGGAGCGUUCUGUAAGCCUGCGAAGGUGUACUGUGAGGUAUGCUGGAGGUAUCAGAAGUGCGAAUGCUGACAUAAGUAACGAUAAAGCGGGUGAAAAGCCCGCUCGCCGGAAGACCAAGGGUUCCUGUCCAACGUUAAUCGGGGCAGGGUGAGUCGACCCCUAAGGCGAGGCCGAAAGGCGUAGUCGAUGGGAAACAGGUUAAUAUUCCUGUACUUGGUGUUACUGCGAAGGGGGGACGGAGAAGGCUAUGUUGGCCGGGCGACGGUUGUCCCGGUUUAAGCGUGUAGGCUGGUUUUCCAGGCAAAUCCGGAAAAUCAAGGCUGAGGCGUGAUGACGAGGCACUACGGUGCUGAAGCAACAAAUGCCCUGCUUCCAGGAAAAG